UCUCUCUCUCUCUCUCUCUCUCUCUCUCUCUCUCUCUCUCUCUCUCUCUCCUCUCUCUCUCUCUCACCCCCGUCCCAACUGAACCGGAACCACAAAACCCUAGAAAACGAAUUCGAAGAGAUUUCUUUGUGGCUCGUCUCGGAGGUACAGCCUGGCGUUGACUAGUCGGAGGAUGGCGAAGAAGAUCAUGGCUACGGUGAGCCCACUCCGGUGGUUGGAGAUCGUGACGAGGAGAGAGUGUCCUCCAGAUCCACUUUGUCUCGUGGGGUUCUUGUUUCCUUUCUGUUCAGCACCUAACCUCCUCCUCCAUUUCCAAACGGCACCGAACCGUCCUCUUCUUCCUUCUCCGCGUCUGACCAGAACCCGUCUAAGAACGAAGAGGAGAGAGAGGUCGGGUGCGAGGGGUUAGGGCUCAAAGAUGGUGGAUGUUCCAGAGUUCAAGGCCUCCGUUUCAGAGACGAAUUGGAGCAACUCCGAAAGAAGUCUGGGGCCAUUGAUAAAGCACUUCUCUUCCCUUGUCAAGUGGACGAGGGCGGCAUCUGCCAAGGCACCCCAAUCAAGUAAAUAUGAAAUGGGAAUGUUGUUCAGUUUGAGAGUGGGUACUUAGUCGAGACUGUUGUGGAAGGAACUGACAUUGGAGUUGUUCCUUUCAAGAUCCGCAUUUCAGAGGAUGGCGAGCUCUUUGCUGUAGAUUCUGUUAAUAGUAACAUUGUUCGGAUUACUCCUCCGUUGUCUCAAUGUAUGCAAAAGUAUUUACUUGCAGUUGACACAUUUACUUCAAAGUAUUUACUUUCAAGGUAUCAUUUAUGAUCUUCCAAUUGACACAUUGUUUUCCAAAGUUUGUUUACUUGCUGUUUAUGCUUCUUCUACCCUUUUUCUACUUUGACUGCACUGUCAUAUUCUAGAUUGUUGUUUUUGAGCAUUGGUGAGGUUAUUUCAUUAUCAUCAAUGAGAGAUCUCACCAAAGUUCCCUUAAUUAAAAGACAAGUCACUAGUUUUGGUUCAUGAUUGAUCUUGAAGCAAAGAAAGGAUUGAGGAAUAACGCAAGGACAAGCAAAAGUUUAUUUGUUUUCCUCAAGAGUGUUCAUGCGCUCACUCUUCUCUUUCUCAAUGCAUUUAUUUCAUUGUCCCUUUGAUAUCAUCAGUAAGAGAUCUCACCAAAGUCCCCCUAUUGGUAAAACAAAUUUCUAGUUCUGGUUCUUAUCAGAUAAAACUCUCAGUUUACUAAUGCUUCACCAAUCAUUAGUAACCAUCAUCAUAAUUAUUAUUUAUGCUAUUCAUGACUAACAGUUAGAUUUUGUCUUCAGGAAAGAUAUAAUUCCAUGGUUUCCAUGGAUGGUAAUGCAGAACUUCAAAUAUUAUCAUUCAAAGCCACUAAGAUUAGGCUUUUACGUAGCCUAUGUAUUCACAUUCAAACAAUGCAGGUUGAUUCGCAGCUACACCAAGGACUGGAAAUUCAAGUUACAAGUAUUUUUAUCUUAUAACAAAUUGCUACUUGUUUCUCUUUUUCUUUUUACUGUAUCUACAAACCGUUUUUGUCUUCAUAUGGUUUAUUUAGGAGACUUCAAUCUUGUUCUUUUCUUUUGCUAUUGUAUAUGGAGAAGUUUAGGCCAUAUGUCCCCUUCUCCAUACUCUUUGUACUAUUUUUAUCAAUAAUAUUAAUUAGAAUUUUCUUUUACUUA